AUGACUAGUGCGAAGUCCUGCUCUUCUGAAUUUCCAUUAAUUCUCCAAGCCAAGACUUGCUGCACUAUAGUGAGUGAAGAACAGUUCCAUCUCGUUUCUGACAGAGGGCAGCAUUUCGUUUUCUACCACAGAGAGGUGUAUUCCUGGAGCUUGCAAAUGACGCCAGCUCAAAAUAAAGAAAAACAAAUUGAAAUGAGGAUUUUAAUCACUGUGAAGGGAAUGAAAGGCUGUGUCAGCGUUUCCAUGCUCGCAGCUUGAGCUCCAGGGAUGCGAGGGGAAUGAAGAUCACAAAUGUCAGCCAAAGAGGAGGCACUCUGGGUGAAACAAGAUGCAGUCUGAACCUUGGUCACAUCACAUCCAAGUCACCUCUGCUUGUUUGGCUUCAAACAGUAUCAGGUUUGUUUUUUUGUGUGUGUGCGUCUUUUUAAAAAUAUAUAUCUUGAUUGGAGGAUGAUUACUUUACAAUACUGUGAUAGCUUUUAGCAUACAUUGGUAUGAGUCGGCCAUAGGCAUACGUGUGUCCCUUCCUCGGGAACCCCCUUUCCACCUCUCUCCCCACCCAUCCCUCUAGGUUGUCACACAGCACCGGCUUUGAGUGCCCUGCAUCAUACAUCAAACUCCCACUGGCUAUGUAUUUUACAUAUGGUAAUGUAUAUGUUUCAAUGCUGUUCUCUCAAAUCAUCCCACCCUCUCCUCCCACUGAGUCCAAAAGUCCAUUCUUUAUGUCUGUGUCUCCUUUGCUGCUGUACACAUAGGCCCGUCGGUACUAUCUUUGUAGAUUCCAUAUAUAUGCAUUAAUAUACUCUUUCUCUUCUGACUUACUUCACUCUGUAUGAUAGGCUCUAGGUUCAUCCACCUGAUUAAAACUGACUCAAAUGCAUUCCUUUUUAUAGCUGAGUAAUAUUCCAUCGUGUAUAUGUACCACAGCUUCCUUAUCCAUUCAUCUCCCGAUGGACAACUAGGUUUCUCUCAUGUCCUAGGUAUUGUAAAUAGUGCUGCAGUGAACACUGGGGUACGUGUCUUUUUCAAUUACACUUUUCUCAGGGUAUAUGCCCAGUAGUGGGAUUUCUGGGUCACAUGAUAGUUUUAGUCCUAGUUUUAAAGGAAGCUCCAUAUUCUUCUCCAUAGUGGUUGUAUCAGUCUACAUUCCCACCAAUGAUCAGGACCAGAUUUAAUGACACUGUGGUGUGCCCUUUAUUUGAAACAGGCUGAUGUGGUGGAGAGAAAGCUUUUGCAAUAGAGGAGAAAAGGUACCAGC
rnacentral:lncRNA from 1 species